rnacentral:rRNA from 1 species
UACGGAGGGUGCAAGCGUUAUCCGGAUUCACUGGGUUUAAAGGGUGCGUAGGCGGUUUGGCAAGUCUUAUGUGAAAUCUUCGGGCUCAACCCGAAGCCUGCAUAAGAAACUGCCGGGCUUGAGUAUGGGAGAGGUGAGUGGAAUUUCCGGUGUAGCGGUGAAAUGCGUAGAUAUCGGAAGGAACACCUGUGGCGAAAGCGGCUCACUGGACCAUAACUGACGCUGAGGCACGAAAGCUAGGGGAGCAAACAGG